UCUGGCGUAUUGGUCUUUUGUUCAAGGUGAGAGCAACUAAUAGCAGCACUGGGUUCAACCCAGUUUGGAGCAUGCUUUUGUGACGAGCAAACUGGAUGCCAUUUCUCUGAUAUUCAUAUCCAUAUUUGGUUGACUACAGAGCAUUAUUUAAGGAGAGAAAGUCUGAGGUGAGCCACUGGAUCCAUCAUUCUCCUGAGAGAGUUGACAAUAAGAGCAAGACUCCACAUUUCAAAGGGACUGAAAUAAAGCACAGAGGCUGAAACAUGGGUGAUGCUGCCAUGGCAGAGUUUGGGGCUGCUGCUCCUUAUCUAAGGAAAUCUGAUAAGGAGCGUCUGGAGGCCCAGACUCGUCCCU